AUUGAACGCUGGCGGCAUGCCUUACACAUGCAAGUCGAACGGCAGCACGGACUUCGGUCUGGUGGCGAGUGGCGAACGGGUGAGUAAUGUAUCGGAACGUACCUUUCAGUGGGGGGAUAACGUAGCGAAAGUUACGCUAAUACCGCAUAUUCUGUGAGCAGGAAAGCAGGGGAUCGCAAGACCUUGCGCUGAUUGAGCGGCCGAUAUCAGAUUAGCUAGUUGGUGGGGUAACGGCCUACCAAGGCAACGAUCUGUAGCGGGUCUGAGAGGAUGAUCCGCCACACUGGAACUGAGACACGGUCCGGACUCCUACGGGAGGCAGCAGUGGGGAAUUUUGGACAAUGGGGGCAACCCUGAUCCAGCCAUGCCGCGUGAGUGAAGAAGGCCUCGGUUGUAAGACUCUUCGUCGGAGAAUACGCAUCAGCUAAUAUCUGUGUGGAUGACGGUACCGGAACGUAAGAAG
rnacentral:rRNA from 1 species